rnacentral:rRNA from 1 species
CUACGGGGUGCACCAGUGAGGAACAUUGCACAAUGGGGGAAACCCUGAUGCAGCAACGCCGCGUGGAGGAUGACGCAUUUCGGUGUGUAAACUCCUUUUAUGAGUCAAGAAAAUGACGGUAGCUCAUGAAUAAGCACCGGCUAACUCCGUGCCAGCAGCCGCGGUAAUACGGAGGGUGCAAGCGUUACUCGGAAUCACUGGGCGUAAAGGACGCGUAGGCGGGCUUGUAAGUCAGGUGUGAAAUCCUACAGCUUAACUGUAGAACUGCACUUGAAACUACGAGCCUAGAGUAUGGGAGGGGCAGAUGGAAUUAGUGGUGUAGGGGUAAAAUCCGUAGAUAUCACUAGGAAUACCGAAAGCGAAGGCGAUCUGCUGGAACAUUACUGACGCUAAGGCGUGAAAGCGUGGGGAGCAAACGGGAUUAGAUACCCUUGUAGUC